rnacentral:rRNA from 1 species
UCGCCCUUGAGUUUGAUCAUGGCUCAGAUUGAACGCUGGCGGCAUGCCUUACACCUGCAAGUCGAACGGCAGCAUAGGAGCUUGCUCCUGAUGGCCAGUGGCGAACGGGUGAGUAAUAUAUCGGAACGUACCCUAGAGUGGGGGAUAACUAGUCGAAAGAUUAGCUAAUACCGCAUACGAUCUACGGAUGAAAGUGGGGGAUCGCAAGACCUCAUGCUCAUGGAGCGGCCGAUAUCUGAUUAGCUAGUUGGUGGGGUAAAAGCUCACCAAGGCGACGAUCAGUAGCUGGUCUGAGAGGACGACCAGCCACACUGGAACUGAUACACGGUCCAGACUCCUACGGGAGGCAGCAGUGGGGAAUUUUGGACAAUGGGGGCAACCCUGAUCCAGCAAUGUUUUUUUAGUGAAGAAGGCCUUCGGGUUGUAAAGCUCUUUUGUCAGGGAAGAAACGGUGAGGGCUAAUAUCCCUUGCUAAUGACGGUACCUGAAGAAUAAGCACCGGCUAACUACGUGCCAGCAGCCGCGGUAA